GAUCCUGCCGGACCCGACUGCUAUUUGGGUGAGGAUAAGCCAUGCGAGUCGAAUGGGAUACCUAAAUUUCCCAUGGCAGACUGCUCAAUAACACAUGAUCAACUUACCCUAUAGAGAAAAAUAACCUCGGGAAACUGAGGAUAAUGUUUCAUAGUUGAAAAGGCUUGGAAAAGUUUUUCGACCAAAGGGAUAAGAAAAAUGGUUUUUAUCUGCUAUAGGAUAGGAUCGUGGUCGAUUAUGGUUGUUGGUGAGGUAAUGGCUCACCAAGCCGAUAAUCGAUAGGGGCCGUGAGAGCGGGAGCCCCGAGAUGGGUACUGAGACAGCGACCCAGGUCUUACGAGACGCAGCAGGCGCGGAACCUCCGCAAUACACGAAAGUGUGACGGGGUUACCCAAAGUGUUCAAUUUUGAACUGUGGUAGGUGAGUAAUGUCCCCUACUAGAAAGGAGAGGGCAAGGCUGGUGCCAGCCGCCGCGGUAAAACCAGCUCUUCAAGUGGUCGGGAUAAUUAUUGGGCUUAAAGUGUCCGUAGCCGGUUUAGUAAGUUCCUGGUAAAAUCGGGUAGCUUAACUAUCUGCAUGCUAGGAAUACUGCUAUACUAGAGGGCGGGAGAGGUCUGAGGUACUACAGGGGUAGGGGUGAAAUCUUAUAAUCCUUGUAGGACCACCAGUGGCGAAGGCGUCAGACUGGAACGUGCCUGACGGUGAGGGACGAAAGCCAGGGGAGCGAACCGGAUUAGAUACCCGGGUAGUCCUGGCCGUAAACGAUGCAUACUAGGUGAUGGCAUGGCCAUGAGCCGUGUCAGUGCCGUAGGGAAACCGUUAAGUGUGCCGCCUGGGAAGUACGGUCGCAAGGCUAAAACUUAAAGGAAUUGGCGGGGGAGCACCACAAGGGGUGAAGCCUGCGGUUCAAUUGGAUUCAACGCCGGGAA
rnacentral:rRNA from 1 species